CCUGUUUAACAAAAACAUGUCUUUUUGAGUUAUUUUAAAAGUCUGACCUGCCCACUGAAAUUAUUUAAAUGGCCGCAGUAUUCUAACUGUGCAAAGGUAGCAUAAUCAUUAGUCUUUUAAUUGAAGGCUGGUAUGAACGGUUGGACGAGGUAUAAGCUGUUUCAUAUAAAUUUAUAAUAGAAUUUUAUAUUUUAGUCAAAAAGCUAAAAUUUAAUUAAAAGACGAGAAGACCCUAUAAAUCUUUAUACUUUAAGUUGUUUAAAUUUUUUAGAUUAAUUUUAUUUUUAUAAUUUAGAGUAUUUUGUUGGGGUGAUAUUAAAAUUUAAUGAACUUUUAAUUGUUAAAAAUCAUUAAUUUAUGAGUUAUUGAUCCAUUAAUAGUGAUUAUAAGAUUAAGUUACUUUAGGGAUAACAGCGUAAUUUUUUUGGAGAGUUCAUAUCGAWAAAAAAGUUUGCGACCUCGAUGUUGGAUUAAGAUAUAUUUUUAGGUGUA
rnacentral:rRNA from 1 species